CCCUUGGUAGGGCAGCGGGAAAUAGUAUUUUGACAUCUAGGUUUUGUGACUUUUGAUUGUCACAAAAAAAAAAAAACAAUUUAAUUAUUUACAAAAAUUGUUCAAGGAGUUUUGUGUUUCCCAAGAAUAAAAAGGCGUCCCCGACCCAAAAACAAAACCAACACAAUUCCUUGACAUUCAUUUGGAAUCCCUACAUGAAAUGGGACCUUGGAACCUAAAGAAGCAGAGCUAGAGCAUCGCCGACAAGAAGAUGUCUUAAAACGUUACAGCUCAAAGAAGGAAUCGAUUUGCCAACAUAGCUGAGACUGCGCUCGCUAAAGAAAGAUUUCAGAAUGAAGGGUAGAUAGCGUUAAAAGGUAACUCACUUGUGAAGCUCUUCAAUAGGAAAAUGCGAUCACGAAAAAGUUUGAACCCCCCAAACCAGACCUGAAUUGAAGACUUUUCAAGCUCUCCAGAGAAGACAUCAGAACAGAUGAAAAGAUGCUAGCAAACGGUGAGAUCUCAGAACAAGAAAGCAAUUGUGUUGGGGAGAACUCAUGGAGUCAACCGCUUUACAAUGAAUUUGCGGUACCCUUCCCGAAUCCAUAUCAAAUCACAAGAGCUGGAGUCAAGAUCAUUACUUUCGCCCUCAGGAUUUAAGUUCAUCUGUUGAAACAAAAAUUUCCCCUUGCGAGCAACGGAAGAACCGUCAGCAGUCAUUGACACACUUCCAUCAACAUCAAAGCGAAAGAACAAAGAAGUGAUCGCAAAAAGUGCCUCCCAAAAAGAACUUCCAGUGCACCCACUGCAAC